rnacentral:lncRNA from 1 species
UGAAAUAUUCAGAUGCUUCAACAGCACAUACAUCACUUUGUUCUGAAAAGAUGCUUGGUUUUCACGAUGCACUAAUUCCUCGCCCUAUUCAGACAAACGUUGAUUCUCCACAAGCUCCACGCUUGAAAAUAAAACCAAGAUCUGAUGAAGUGCUUCCUUACCAGGAGACUGAUAGCCCAGUUGGCCCUCCCAUAGUUGAUGAAAGCGAUGAAGCUCCUUCCUCCCCAGUUGAUGAGCUCAUAGAUUUCAGGGGGUUAGGGAAAAUAGAUAAAACUUUUGUUCCACUGCUGGAAGAAGUCUGUUUGUGGCAUCCUUCGUUGAUUAGCUGCCAGAGGAAAAGAAGUCGCAUGUUUAGUGAAUGGGCAUUCACAGCUUUGGGUCGAGUAUUGCAUUUCUUGAAGACCACAAAGGUUAAGGAUAUGAUGGAGGAGUCAUGUGAGCAUGAUCCAUGUGAGCAUCUUCAAGUUUUGUGGGAGGAGGUUGAGGCCUUCAGAUUUGACUUGAGUUGGCUGGAGCCUUUUGUUCAAUCAGCUUUGGGAAUCAAGAAGUUUGGGGAGAGAGAAGGAGUAUUGAAGAAACUCAGAGAUGAUGUCGAUGCUUUGGAUACUGAAAUUAAGGGGUUAAGGGAGAGGCUAGCUGUUGUUGAGGUAGCUCACAGGGUUGCAAAAAGAGACCUGACAAAGGCAGAGGAAAGCUUCAGCGAGGCAUAUAUGAACAGCAAGCUUGGUUAUGGGAGGCAUUAGCCUUGCUGUAGAAUUCUGUCUUUGAUAUGCAGCCAUUUGUAAUGUGUGCAGUAUAUCUAAAGAUCUGUAAUCCAGGUUUCCAAACGUAUAUUUAUGUAUGGGAGCGCUGCUUGUGGCUAAAGGUUGUUAUCCAUAUUUGAAACCAGUGAGAAGAUCGCCAUCUGAUUUCUACCAAAUGUAUCGUUCAGAGCCGUGACAUGUAUUUAAAUUUCUCACCCUUAAAUUUUGUUGAUGUACGGGGAAUUGAUCCACAAAUUGUUACCCACAAAUUGUCCAAUAACACUUACAAAUUGCCAUGUUCGUACAAACUCAGCUACAUUUUUUUCCUGUGAUGUUUACUAAUGCAGGUUAUAAUGCAUAAAGUAAAAAUGCAUUAUAUACAGAUUGGGGGUAAUCAAUGCCAGACUGUAUACGGUCUUUACAAAUUUAGUCGUUCAAUAGUUUGUACUCCCUACUAAUAUUGUGGAGAAUGAAGCAUCUAUAAUUUUGGUGGGAAGCGAGUUCCAAUUUGAAUUAUCUUCAAGUGAUGGAAUUAAACUGAAAUGUCAUGACAGAUUUUUGGCUUAAUGGAGCCCGCCUAAAGACGACCUUUAUAAUGAGGAUUAGUUGAGAACUUUUCGGCUUAUUCCGUUUUUCGAUCUUAUAUCUCCAUAUUAACCAUUCAGUUUAUAGGUAUUUAUGAGUAUAUCAUUAUUGUAAAUUUUAAGACAUAUUGAAAAUCGUUAAGGCAUUCAUAACUCAUAAGUAUGAAUUACCAAUUAUGAACUUGUAUCUAUUAAUUUGAUCUAGUUUGUUACCUUAACGAUCACUAAUUUGGUUAAAAUUUGUAGAAGUGAUCUACUUAUAUAGACCUAAAAACUGAACGGAUGAGAUGUAAAAAUGUGAUCGAAAAAUAUGUAUUUUAAUUUUUAAAAACUUGGUUCUAGUGGGACUAAUUAACUACCCAACUACAUAGAAAACAGUCCAAAAAGCAAGAAUCACAGUUAAGGCAAAUUUAGCAGAUCUCAUGCAUAGAAUCACAGGCAUAGAGGUUGGUGACGACAGAGAGGCAUGGCUCUAAAAAUACAUGAAAACACUUGGUUGGAAUCACGAAUCCAACUCCUCUAUAUAUAGACCUCAACUGCGCAUUACAAUUCAUUCUGUAUUAGGUUGGUAUUGAUUGGAUACAUUGCUCGCAGGACGAGGUUUCUCGCAAUAUUAUAUCUUAGGUUCCUGGCAAUAUUAUAAUUGAAAAAGUCAUACCUAGAAAUCUAGUGAGUAUAACUAGAACAUUAUUUUCUUUUAGAAGAAUUGGAACAUUAGGCCAUCUCCAAUAGAGGGCUAAGGGCUUGAUAUAUCCCAAAUAUUAAACAAAACCAACUCCAAUGGGAGACUAUGCUAUACCAAAAAUGGGUUUUGAGUGGCUAUAAUGCCAAGGGCUGGGCUACAAUUAGCCUUUUGUAUAGCAGCUGCUAAAUCUGACGUGGGCUCCACAAUUGCAGCCUAAUUUGACCAACUCAACAGAUCAAUGGUUAAGAAUUGAGAUGUUAAUUAGCUGAUGUCAUCAGCUGUUUACAUAUAUCUGUUUUNNNNNNNNNNNNNNNNNNNNUGCUACUUUAUCACUCCUCACUCCGAUUAUUUGGUUAUUUUCUUCAUCUCUUCUCUCUCUCUCUCUCUCUCACUGUGUUUUUUUUUUUAAAUGGCCUCUUCCUCAAAAAAAUUAGGAAAUUGGAUGCCAAAAGAAGAUGAAGCUCAUAGCUUAUGUCCAAGUCUCGGAAGAUAUGGAGAAGGGUAUCAACCAAUCAAAAGAAGGGCUUUGGGGACAAGUUCAACAAACAUACUUGAAUUACUAUGAAGGCACCACACUUCUGAAGGCAAGAUUGGAAGAUAGUUGUAAUUCUCGAUGGAAAAAGCAUAUUUAUCCAAACAUGAACAGAUGGCAUACUUGUCUCAAACGUUCCGAAAGAAGGGAUGAAAGUGGAGCAAAUCUCCAAGACAUAGUGAGUUUUUAUUUUUAUUAAUUUUUUUUUUUUACUUAUUACUAAUAACAAUUGUAGAAUACUCUUUUUAUUAGUGUUUGUUAUGUAAUAUAAUUGUGUGACAAUUUUUAUCAUUGGUUGGAUUUGAUAGCAACGACUAGCCGAGAGUUUCUUUAGGGAUGAGUCCGGAGGAGCACCAUUUAAAUUUGGUAAAUGUUAUGAUCUUUGCAAAGAUUGGGUGAUGUUUCAAGAUCCAACCCAAGAAGAAUUCGGAGCAAUACCAGUGCAACACAAUAUCUCAAUUUCCUUGGAGGACGAUGAGGAUCCCAUUGAGAAUUCUCCUACUGCAUCUCAAACGCCAAGUCCUAGGCCUAAGGGAAGAAAUGCCGCAAGAAAAGCAAGGCAGAAGGGCAAAGAGGCGGAAGUCAAAGCUAUUGGAGAAGAAAUGGUAGCCGGAAUGCGAGAAAUGGUGGCACAAAUGAAAGUGGCGGAAGAGGAAAGGAAGAGAAGAGACAAGAAAAGGGAGGAUCGAAGAGAGGUUGCUAGGUUAGAGAAUAUCUUAAUGAUGCAAACUCUUGAUUUCACUCCAAGGAGUAAAAAGUAUUUUGAUGGCAAGAAAAGGGAGGCACUUCACAAACUACAAGGACGAGAGUUGUUUCCGGAUGAAGAUGUUUAUCGUCCACAAAUGCCAUCCGAUGAAGAUGAAGCUUAGUUUAAUUGUUAGAGUGAAUAAACUUUUAUAAUUGUAGGUUAUUAUUAUGUGUAGUUAAUGUAGGUUUUAAAUUCAAGUUGUAAUAUUCUAGUUGCAUUUUAAUUGAAAUAAUUAUGGAGUUGUCAACUAAUUUUAAGUUUGUGACAUAAAUUGAAAGAAAUUUUAAUGUUAUUCAUCAUAAUUAAUUGACAAGCCACACAACAAUAAUAAUACGGAUAUGACAAUGCAAUGUCAAUUAUUACUACCAAACAAACUCACCACACUAAGAAAGAAAAAAGAAAGCCAAAAGUGUUAAUAUAACUAGGUGCUCGAUCAUCCACGUCGUUGGCCUCUUGUUUCCCAAAGAUGCUUCACAAGAUCUUGUUGUAGAUUAGUGUUUGCAGCUCUAGAGCGUAUAAGCCUAUAACGAUGCAUGUAUUCAUCCAUUGAGAUUUUGCCUAUUCUCGGAUCACGAGGUAAACUUGGACCAUCAUAAAUUCUUGCUCGGGUUCUUCUUGAUCUAUUUGGGUCAGGUUCAUCAUCGUCGGACUCACCAUCAUGAUACUCAUGGCGCUCAUCCACCACAAUCAUGUUACGAAGUAUAAAGGAUGUAAGCAUAAUUGAGUUAAGUUUUCCUAGACUCCACCCCCCUCAGGUUGCCAGAUGAUUGCAAAUCGAGCUUGCAAAAUCUCAAAUACUCUUUCAACAUCCUUACGAUAUACCUCUUGUUUAGUUGAAAAAUACACUUCUUCUUCAAUAACAGGACACCUUAUUGAUUGGACAAGUGUUGCCCAUUUUAGAUAAAUUCCAUCAGCAAGAUAAUAACCAAAAUUAUGAUGCUUACCAUGGAUUUCAUAAUCCAGGUGUGGUGAUUCUCCAGCGGUGAAAGCAUCAAAUAAUGGUGAACGUCCUAGAACAGUGAUGUCAUUUUGUGCUCCUAGAAUCCCAAAAAACGCAUGUCAGAUCCAUGUGUCAAAGUCUGCCACGGCUUCCAGAACAAUGGUCGAUUUUUUUGCUUUGCCACCGAACCUUCCUUGCCACCCUGUAGGACAAUUUUUCCACCGCCAAUGCAUACAGUCUAAUGACCCGAUCAUCCCUAGAAAUCCUUGUCUCUCAGCUCGUUGUAGGAGCCUAUCCAAAUCAUUUGCAUUUAGUGCCCGGAGGUAACGCCCCUGGUAGAUUGUGACAAUGGUACGACAAAAUUGUCCCAGGUUCUCGAUCGCAGUCGACUCGGGCAUCCUAAAGGUUUCAUCCAAGGAAUCUGCCGAGCAUGCAUUAGGAAGCAUACGUAGUGCAUACGUUAACUUUUGAUGGGGCGAGAAGCUGGGUCGGCCGGAGUUAUCAUAUGACUGCCUAAAGUAGGGAUUGGCUGUCUGAACAUUGUCUAACAUGCGGAGAAAAACUUCGCGCCGCAUCCUAUAGCGUAGUCUGAACUCCACCUUGUUGUACACUGGAUUUUCCACGAAGUAGUCAUUCAACAACCUUUGAUUAGCUAGCUCACGUUCUCAGGUUUUGUAAGCGCGACCUGUAACAGAGCCACCCCAUUGUGGUUGUUGUUGAAGUUGCUCAUACGCCCACCAAUUUCCUGCAUCUGCCAUCAUUUGAUUUGUAAUUUUGAGGCUGGAAUCAACUUCUUCCUCUCAUCCUCCUCCUCUUCUUGCAUCUCCUCCUCUUCUCUUGUAGUCAUCUCCUCCCACUUGGCACGCCAAUUGAAAUUCAUUGCAAAUGUUUACUAAAAUCUCUAUGAAAGAAAGUGACUGAAGAGGAAGAGAUGAUGAAGAAUGGAAGCCAAACUACACCUUUUAUUGAGUUUGGGGCUGCAGAUAAGAUCUACCAUAUGGACACAAAAUUUGUUCAAAAAUCUCGAGAAUGAAUUAUAAUUUAACACGUGGCACGCAAAAUCGUAUCUGAUAAAUUUGAGUAGAUAACAUAGAUAUAAGAGGAUAUAAAAUCUAAUCCAAAAUUUGAAUAAUUGCCUAUAAACCGACAUGUGACACUAUAAAUCUUAAAUGAAAAAAAAAAGGUAAGAUUUUGUUAGAAAAUUAAGAGUAGAAAUGCUAGUAUAAUUGUAAAAUACUAUAUGUUUAAAAAAUAUAAAAAAUUAAUAAAAUAACAUAAUAUUUAAAUUUAUAGCCCUUUACGGUUGGAGAUGGUCAAAAUUAUAGCCCUCACUAUUCAUAUAGAUAGUGAUUUUUAAGGGGUCAAAAUUUAACCCGGGGGCUAUUUUAGCCCUUUUCCAUUAGAGAUGGCCUUAGUUAGUGAGAUUCGCGAAUUAAGGAAUUUUGUCUAGUGAGUAUAACUAGAAAAUUAUAUUCUUUUAGAAGAAUUGAAACAUUAGUUAGUGAGAUUUGCAAAUUAACGAAUUUUUUUAUCAGGUAAAAUGGUAAAUCAAUGGCGGAGGGAGAAAAUUUUCGUCAUGGGGGCACACAAAGAAGCCAAACAAGAAAUAACUACUAAUUAACGAGUACAAAAUUUCAAUUUUUUUGUUGUUUGUUUGUAAAGGAAAUUUCAGUUUUAAAUAUCAAAAUUUGUCCCAUUCAAUUCAUUUUUUAGUCUUCAUUUGCAAUCACUGCAUUUAAGGGUAUGAUUGAUCAAGCACUAACUUGAAUUGAAGCUCAAAUUCCGACAGUGCUGCAAUUCUAACAAUGUUGUAAAACCCAAUUGCACAAGAUGGGUCGUAUAGGCAGAGUUGAAAUAUUCGGGUAGAAUUGAGGGUAACAUGCAGACGAAGAAUCUGAAGAUUUCAUAGGUACUUAAUAACAAGUUCUCGUCGUCGCCAAUGGAGUUGAAUCUGGGAAUGAAGAUACUAGAAUCAAGUUUUGGAUCGGGAAGGACAUUUAGUUUAACUGUAAAAAUUUGAUGAUCUGAGGAGCUAGUCUCUUAUAAUAAUGGGUACGAAAAAGAAGAAGAGGAGAGAGAUAUAUUUUUUUCUUCUAUGAGAAGAGAGAGAUUGAUGUUCUUCAAUUAAUUUAUCAAAUGGCAAUGUGUUAGUCAAAAUGAAUACUUUGACUCAUAUAUGUGACUUGUUGUGUCGUUAUAAAGUUUUGUUGAUGAAGUGUUGUCAGAAAGCCAGGGAAUCAUGAGGUUACACGGCUAGUUCUAAUAUUUCUUGUGGGGGCACAUUUGCAUCACAAGGCCAGAUGUUAAAAUUCCACUAGGGGCACAAUUGCAUCAUAAGGCCAGAUGUCAAAAUUCCACUAGGGGCACGAGCCCCCACUCGUCCUCAAUUGGCUCCGCCAAUGAGGUAAAUAACUCAAAUGCUACAACUAGUUCUUGAUGAGUUGAACUCACAACCCCUCCCAUACUAAAAAGCAAAGAGAGAUUAUAUCGCUAUAUCAAAUGGUCCUCGGAGCCAAUUAACAAAUUUUUGACGGUUUUUAUUUUUAUUUUUGCAAUUUGGGAAAUUUGCUGUCAAAGAAAUCAGAAAAUGUUAGGGUUAACUUGUCAUUUCCUUCGGCUUAGAGUGUUGCUGCUCCCCUCUGUGUUCAUCACAAGAAGUAAAAUAUUGACGAUGAUAAAAUUUUUGAUGGUUUGAAAAAGAGAAAUCUCGAUGAAUAUAUCGAGAUAAUAUCAAAUAUUGAUAUAAAUUUUAUCAAAUUUUAUUUAUAAGUUGUAUAUUCGAUCAAAAAUAAACUAAAUAUAAAUAUCAAAAACAUAUAAAAAUUAAUAUCAAUAAUUAUAAAAAACAGAAACUUCAAAAAUGCCAAUUACAUAGAAGUCCACUUUAGGAUAUUUUCUCUCAUAUAGGUCCACCUAAACAUUUUUACCCACAUAAGUCCACCCAAGCCUAAAUAAAGUCUUAUAUUAGGUAUUGAAGUUUAACAAAAUUAUAGACUGCCAUCCAGCUAAAAAAUUAGAUUUUCUUUCUUAUAUUUACAAAAAUGCCACUAAUGUAAAAAGUCAACAACCACAAAUGGUCUCCAGCCGACCUCCAACGAACUUUCCGACCAGACUCCAACGAAUUUUCUGACCGACCAUUAGUGAAGAUUCUAGCGACCACAAAAAUUACUACCACUGACAACAAAAUAUACUACUGCUGGCAAAGAAAACUACUACUAUUGGCAACAAAAGAUACUACCGAUAACAAAAAAAACUACUGCCACCCGCAAAGAAAGCUACUACCGAUAGCAACAAAAACUACUACAACCAGCAAAGAAAACUACUACCACUAACAACAAAAGAUACUACUGCCAACAACAAAAGCUACUACCACCAGCAAAAAAAGCUACUACUACUAACAACGAAAAAUACUACCAUUAGCAACAAAAGAUACUACUACCAGCAAUAAAAAAUACUACCACCACCAACAAAAGAUACUACCACCGCCAUCAAAAGAUACUACCGCCAUCAAAGAAAUCUACUACCACCAGCAAAGAAAUCUACAACCAUUGACAACGAAAAAUACUACCGUUAACAACAAAAAUACUAGUACUAGCAACCAAAGCUAAUACCGCCACCAACAAAAGACACAACCCCCACCAACAAAAAAUACUACCGCCAUUAACAAAAGCUACUACCACUAGCAAAGAAAGUUACUACCACUGACAACGAAAAAUACUGCCGUCAGUAAUAAAAGAUAUUACCGUCAUUAAUAAAAGCUACUAUCACCAGCAACAAAAUCUACUCAUAUGAGAUUGAGAGAGAUACUAGCAUAGAAGUUGAAAAUGAUUGUAUAUACAAAAUAUUAUCAUCGUGUUGAAAAGAUACUAAUACAGACAUUAAAAAAAUACUAAAAUUAUGUAGCUUUUUACAAUGAUAUAAUCAUGUAUAAAACUACUUUUGUACUUUACAAAAGCUAUUGUUAUAGUUUAAAAAGUCUACUGCAAUAGUUCUAUAAAGAUUCUUCCGUGGUUUUUCCAUUCUCGAUUAGCACACGACUUUAUUUCAAAUAUUUCUCGGUUAGCCGAAUGAUCUCUUGGUUAAGAGAGGCUUCAAUAUCCAAAUUCACAUGAUUUUUGAAAGCUACUACUACAAUCACAAGGCAAAGAAUUCUGCAAGCACAAAAACACAACAUAAUAUUAGAAUCUAAAAUGGAAUCAUGGACUCAUUUAAACAGAUUCAAUGCGGCACACAUGUAAGAAAUCGAUGACACAAUCAUCAACCACACAUGUAAUUAUCUGGUUACAAAUGUGAAACUACAAAAAAUGAGUUCCUAAAUGCACCAUACCAUAAUCAUACGCGGUCCAGGGAGUCAGAGUGAAGCCAGAGUAUAAUUCGGAUCAGCACACGCCCUGGAAGUAGCCUCUAGCGCCUGGAAAGUCAACUGAAUCAGCCAUAGCGACACAAAACACUUCAUUCAAAAACUCAUACGUCCAUUGAUUCAUCAAAUUCCACAAUUAAAUUAGCACUCAGUGAAGACAUGAAGUGAUCAAGAUUGAAAAAGAAUAGAAAAGAAUCAGAAUACUCACAAAACCAUAGCCCUUGGACCGGCGGUGUCCUUGUCAGAAAUGACAACCGCCUCAAGCUGGUGGAACCUCGAUAGAUCUGCACAUCACUGAAGAAUCACCUUCGUCGUCACCGUCUCGAACUCAUACGAGAAGGUCCGGAGAAGAAGACGAUGGGGCUGAUUGGAGAAGGUGCGGCCGGCGAGGACAAAAGGUGUUGAUCGGAGGAUCGGAAGAGGUAGAGGAAGGUCCACGCGCAUCCGGUAGAUCUACUAAGGCGCAUAAAUCUUUGCUUCAGUAAAGGAGGUGCGUGAGCGCAACUGGCGAACAUGAGAUUCCAACGACGGCAUGUGCCAAGCAGGAGGCGGACGACGUCUUCGGAGUUGGUUGGACCUUGUAGAUCCGGCUGCGCGUCGAGGAGAUGCAAUCACGGCCGAGCGAAAGUCGCGUCGAGACGGCGACGGCUUCGUCAUGGCGGUGUCGGAAUCGAAGCGGAAGAACGGGGAGAGAGAGAGAGAGACUAUUUUUAGAAGGAAGAGGAACAGACUUGGUGUAAAAGAGAGAAGGAGAGAAAGAUAUUUUGGAUACAUCAUAAAAGUAAAAUAACAGAUUUAGCUAUAAAAAUGAACUUAUAUAAAUAAAAAUGUUAAGAUGGACUCACGUGGAAGAAAAUAUUAAAAAGUGGACUUGCGUGAAAACAUUGAAUAUUUUAGAUAUUUUACUCCAUGGUCCGUGAACGAGUGGUGUCUCGACCAAAGAUUAAAAUAUUGGUAUCGGUAGAUAUAUCGGUCCGUUAAAACAGGGAGAUUUCGGAUAUAUCGGGGAAACCCGGGAAAAAAAUAUCGGUAUUUUGGGAAGAAAAUUUUUUUUUUUCUGAAAUAUUUAAUUUAUUAGAUUUAUAUAUAAAUAUUACAAAUAUCAACUUCAUCUACAUCCAGAAUAAGAAUCUAGGUUGUUGAUAAGAGUCAUAAGACACACGCUGAUCCACAAAAGUACAAUAAUCAUACCAAGACAUAUGACUCAUAUAGUACAAAUUGUAGUGUUGAAUAUGAUAAUCAUAUAUGUCUUUGGAGCUGCUGAUUGUUUCCCCUAUAAGUGGAUAGUAAGGAUGAUGGAAACUGGAUGACUAAUCACUGACUUCCGCACAUUGAUUAUAGCCAUAAACAUUAUAGCCAUAUUGAUUGUUGCCUUCUUGGGAUUCAUUUGAGGUUCCAGUCCCACUACCUAAACUGAUAGAAUCAAAACUUAGCGCAACUGAAGCAACAUCUUGAUCAUCAUUUGGACCUCUAGUCCUCCUCCCAUACAUGGUAUCCUCUUGCGCUCCAUACCUAGUACUUCUAUAGCCAUGAUCAUGGGAGGCAUGAUCGUAAUUUUCUUCAGAUGAAAAAUUGUUCAAUCCACCAACUGUAGAAGAUUGUCCAUAUACAAACCCGGUGCCAGUAUUUCCACCACCUUUUCUGCUUCCACCAUCUUCAUCAUCAUCUGAACUAUCCAGAGUUGUUAUGCCGNNNNNNNNNNNNNNNNNNNNAAGUACUUAGUCUUCUGUCUUCGUUUGUUUAAUUUAAUUACUAACAUNUGUAUAUAUAUAUAUAUAUAUAUAUAUAUGAUGUUGAUCUCCCAGGUAGGUGGAAGAAUAUGGAAAACCAGAAAGAAGGUCAUGAGCUUAUAUCCAUGACAUACACCUGGACGAUCGACAACUUCUCUAAGCUCAAAACCCGCAAACACUACUCUGAUGGUUUCGUCGUUGGCGAUUUCAAAUGGUAUAUAUUAUAUCUCAUGCCCUAGCUUGACAUUAAUUCUCAUAUAUAUAUAUACAUGCUGGAUCCAUCUCACUCAGUUGCCUUUCUAAUUGGGUGGUUCCGAUCAGGCGGAUCGUGGUGUAUCCAAAGGGCAGCAAUGGGAGGCAAUUCUUGUCCAUGUACUUGAAUGUUGCAGAUGCUUCCAAGUUACCAUCUGGGUGGAGUAGAUAUGCCGAGUUCACCUUGACUGUCGUUAAUCAAUUUAACAGCGACAAAUCCAUAACCAUAGGUAUAUUUCUUCUUUAAUUUACAUGCAUCUUGUUGGUCUCUCUCACUUCUUCUCUUAUUCGAUUGCUACCUUAUUCCUUGAUUCAGUAGAAUGAUUCUACUUUAGAUUGCUACUCUGACUCUGUGUGUGCUUUGCCUAGCUUUUCUUUACUUCAAGCCACUAUGUUAAUUAGUCUCUGAUUGAUUAUCUAUUUCAGUGAAUCUGAUAAGUUAACCAAACACUGUACGUUUGCUCAUUUCUGUCUGGUUUAUCCUUGAUAUCUUGAUUUACAGACACUCAGCAUCAGUUUAGUGCAAAGAAAAGUGAUUGGGGCUUCACAUCAUUCAUGCCUCUAAAUGAGCUUUAUGACCAGAAUGAAGGUUAUAUUGUGGAUGACAUAUGUAUUGUCGAAGCUGAGGUUGCAGUCAGUAAAGCUGACAUUAAGGUUCUAAAAGAUCAAGAAACUGCCUUUCUCGAGCAGGAACUUCAAAGUCAGUCUUCAGACGUGGAUUCUGUGAAAUAUUCUGACGUUUCGACAACACAUACAUCACUUUGUUAUGAACAGAUGCUUGCUUUACAUAAUUCACUAAUUCCUGACCCUGUUCAGACAAAUGUUGAUUCUCCGCAAGCUCCAAGCCUGAAAAUAAUACCAAGAUCUGAUGAAGUGCUUCCUUACCAGGAGACUGAUAGCCCAGUUGGCCCUCCCAUAGUCGAGGAAAGCAUACUUGACGAAAGUGAUGAUGUUCCCUCCACCCCAGUUGGUGAGCUCAUAGAUUUCAGGGGGUUAGGGAAAAUAGAUAAAGCUUUUGUUCCACUGCUGGAAGAAGUCUGUUUGUGGCAUCCUUCGUUGAUUAGCUGCCAGAGGAAAAGAAGUCGUAUGUUUAGUGAAUGGGCAUUCACAGCUUUGGGUCGAGUAUUGCAUUUCUUGAACACCACAAAGGUUAGGGAUAUGAUGGAGGAUUCAUGUGAGCACGAUCCUUGUGAGCAUCUUCAAGUUUUAUGGGAGGAGGUUGAGGCCUUCAAAUUUGACUUGAGUUGGCUGCAGCCUUUUGUUCAAUCAGCUUUGGGAAUGAAGAAGUUUGGGGAGAGGGAAGGAGUAUUGAAGAAACUCGGAGAGGAUGUUGAUGCUUUAGAGACUGAAAUGAGGGGGUUGAGGGAGAGGCUAGCUGUUGCGGAGGUAGCUCACAGGCUUGCAAAAGGAGACCUGGAAAUAGCAGAGGAAAGCUUUGGCGAGGCAAAUAUGAAUAGCAAGCUUGGUUAUGGGAGGCAUUAGUAGCCUUGCUGCAGAAUUCUUUCUUUCAUACUCAGACAUUUGCAAUGUGUGCAAUAUAUCUAAAUGUAAUUCAGCUUUCCGAACGUGUAUCUAUGUAUGAGGGCUGCCUGUACUUAAGCUCAAUACAUAAGAGAAUAAAGGAGGCUGGUUUAGCUUGUAAUCCAUAUUUGAAACCAGUGAGCCGGUCACCAUUUCCAUUCUGGAUCAAACUUCUCGCUCAGAGCAGUGUCAGGUGUGAAGUAGUUUUUACCUUUUACCCUUUAAUUUUGAGUUGUAUGGGAAAUGAACCAGUAAUUGUUACCCUGGAUUUGUGCAACACUGUUUGUGGAAGUGCGCCAUUUUAUUAAGGGUAAAUUCCUCCUAUAGUACUUGAUGUAUCACCAAUUGGACAUGUUGAUACCCAACGUCAUGUGUAAAUUAUGUCGGAAUCUUCAUCCAUUAUAUCGGGAUGAAUUAAUAUUUUGUUUGAAACAUUGGAUUUUAUAUUUAAGAAAUUUAGAUGGUGUAAUCUAAACUGUCAUGAGAUCACUCCACCAAGGUAUAUCUAAUUAAUCCAUUAAAUUAAAAGUAAAGUAAUCGGUAUUCAGUUAUAAACAUAAAACAUAUGUGUUUUGUGGUUUCAUGUGUAUUAGGUCCGAAUCUAUAUCCAUUAUAUCAAAAUGAAUUAAUAUUUUGUUCGAAACAUAAUUGACUUUUAUAUUUAAGAAAUUUAAUCGGUGUAACCUAAACACUCGAUCACGCCACUCAUAUGAGGUUAUUGAGGUAUGUAAUAGGUGUUCAAAUCACAAAUACGUAUAUCUUAACACAUAAUUAAAUUUCGUAAUAUUUUAUCAACAUAACCAAAAACAUUAGUUCAUGCUUGUGUACUCCUAAAAGACCUAAAAAAUAAUGAAGACCUAAAGAUGGUCAUUGACCCACUAAACACGUGUUUUUCUUAUUUUAUAUUUAUAAAUAGGACCAAAAUGACACUUUUACCCUUAUUUAAUGGAAAAGUUAACGGGAAAUAUCAAACUAUCUAACUGAACAUAAUUUAUGGUAUCAAAGUGUUCUUGUUUAAACGUUAGGUACCUAAGUCUCUAAUUGGCCAUACAUCAUGUACCAUUGGAGAGGAGGAAUUUACCCUUUUAUUAAACAAUCAGCUACAUGAGUCUAUUGUUCUCAUUACAAAUGUCCCAGUCUAUACAGAUUGCCAGAUUGGGGAGUAAAGCAAUGUUGAAUUGCUCUCACUUGAAUUUGACAUUCGUCUAAAAUUGAACUAACUGAGCAAAAACUGCAGGCUGGUCCAAGUGUUUAUAGGGCUUUCUAUCUUAUUUUGAUUGUUGUACAUAUUCACUCGUAUGUUAGUUUGUAGUUUUUACUCUCUUUUUUUUUUUUUUGAAAAGAGGGUAAUCAGCCCCCUAUUUUAUUAAAAAUUAUAAAGGUAGUUUUUACUCAUAUUGUUGAGUUUUUAGUUACCACACCCAACUCUUAGACCGAGGACACAACGCCCCUCGUAGCUCGUCCGACGAUAACGCCGUGACUCCCGUGAGGGUGUGCCGCUGGACCCUGCAGCCUCUCUUCCUUGACGUACAAAAGUGUUGCUUACGGUUUUGGGAAAAGUCUCUCUCACUACUGAAUAAUAUCUUUUUCUCUCUCUAAAAAAAUAUAUAUAUAUAUAUACAUAUUAAUUUCCAUAUUUCAUUAAAAAAGGAAGCAUGUGAGUGAGAAGGAGGCAGUUUUUUUAAUUUUUUAUGUGAGAAAAUACAACAGUACAAACUACAAAGAAAAGCCCCGAUUCAGCCCCCUCCACUCAAAUCAAAGUAAAAAAGCAGGCGUGACUCGUGAGAAGGAGGCAGUUGUUGGGUCUCUUCUGUGGAUUUUUGUGUGUAUGGUCGUCUGUCUGGGCUGGCAAUCGGGUUUAUCUCGAGUGCGGAUGUUAGAGCUAAUUUGAUAUUGUUGUGACUUAAAAAAAAAAUUAAAACUAGUGUUGUUGUACUACGAAAAUAAUCGGUUGUGAAUUAAAACAGUUUUGAGUUUGGUAAAUAUUAUUUGUAAGUGUUGUCAGGAUAAAAUUUAUUAAUUUCUAAUGUUUUUAAUGAUAAUUAUUUUUAAAAGUAAAUUUCAGGAGUUGCUGCCAGUAACCCUGUAAUUUUUUAAAAAAAAACUGGUUUUUUUUAUUUAUCAAAUACUAUAAAAUUAAAAGUUCAGAUAAAAUCUGAUUUUUCUAAAAGCAAAACUAUACCAAACUAGAUCUUAGAGACGUGAAAAAUCAGCUUGAUUGAUUGAUCGUGCAAGGACUUGAUGAAUCUUGGCUAGUGGCUUUGUUUGUGUCUUUCUUUUUUUUGUUAUGUAUUUUGUGUCAAUCUUGUAAACUUUGUGAUCCAGAUGCUACUACUUUGGUUCCAAAUUCGUGUAUUCUUGGUAUUUCAAAGAAGGUUAUCUUAUAAGAAAAAUAUCAAGAGCAAAAUUGGAAAUAUCAAGAGCAAAAUUGGAAAUAUCAAGAGCAAAAUUGGAAAAUAUGAGACUGAUUGAUGAGAAACAAAGAAGAAAAAGGAAGAUUGCAAGCUGUUUUCAGAGUGUGACAGUCAGACAGUGCAGAGCCCCAGAUCUGAGCAGCAACUCCGGAGAGUCGAGUUGACGGGACCCACUGACGCGUUUGUGGCGCUGUGGCUUGCCACCCUGUCACCACCACAAAUAUCUAAGGCCUCUACUCUCUACACUACGUCCGUCUGCUCCAUCCACAAAUAUCUCAAACAAACCUCAACCACCACAUUUCACACAGACCCAACUCCUCUCUCUCUCUCUCUCUCUCUCUCUCUCUCUACUACUAGUCUUCAACUUCAAAAGGGUAAGCAUAGUACCGAUUCUCUGAAUCUAAACCAGCUUCUGCACGUUGCCUCUGUUACAUAUGACGUUCUUAAUGAUUUGAUUUGGUUACGUAUAGGUAUACAAGAACAUGGAAAACCAGCAGGCGGGUCAUGAGCUUAUAUCCAUGACAUACACCUGGACUAUUGACAACUUCUCCAAGCUCAAUACCCAGAAGCAUUACUCCGAUGGUUUCGUCGUCGGCGAUUUCAAAUGGUAUAUCUCAUCUCACACUCUCGUAAAGUCCCAGUUUGUGUUUGAGGUUUCAGGACAGUUUUUGCUUGCUUUUAUCGUUGUGGGAUUUCAGCGCUUUUGGUAAAACAUUCAUGUUUCUUAAGUUUGCAGUAGAUCGAAAACCACAAAUAUUAAAAGCAGGUCCUGCCUGUUUUUAACAUCUGCUUUUACAGAUCAGCUGUGUUUUUUCAGUGUUGUUCUGAUUGUUUGAUCAUAUUGGACUCAUUAGUCUUUGGGACAAGGCAGCUAAUAUCACCGAUCAGAACUUUUUGUUUUUGGGUUUUUUUUUCAUUCGGUCAAAUUAAUUGAACGGAGAUUGAUUUUACUGUUUUGAAUCAAAUUUUAAGCUAUGGGUACAGGUUGGUGAUCUCAUGUACUGAUUAUAGCUCAAGAUUACCCUUUGCGUUAUUUGCGUCUUGUUUCUCUCCGUGGAGUUUUCUGUUAUUUUCUUCAAGUUUUUUUAUUUGUUAGAUUCACCAAGGUUGAUCAAUUAUACAAAGUUUUUGACAGGAAGCUUGAAUUGCGUAUAACUUUCAUAUAUACACUCUCAAUAUCAUACAAAGUUAUUGGUAAAUGGUUAUUUCGAAUCGAUCAUGAGAAUCUUGGAGUGGGGAGUUCACAAAAUAUAGACUUUCUGAAAUCAUGUUCAUGGAUAGAGGUUAUCUUCUUCUUUUUGAUCAAUACAUGAAGAGAGUUUAAUGAAUAGUCACUUGUUUUAUAUGAUUUACAUGAACGCAGAGGGUCUUAUUUUGUUCUUGUUCAUGCCUAAAAUCAUAAUUUUUUUAACAUGAGAGAAAUUCCUUGAGGGAAUCUGAACUUUUUGAAUUCAUGGACAUCCUCAUGACAAGAGUUUGCUGAGGCAAGGCAAAUCAUCUUGGCUAUGACUAAGACUAUCAUGUCUAUUUUGAUUUAAGUAUACCUGAUUAUUCUGUUGUUAGAUUCACGGUACCAAACAGAUUUGCUUCACAGCUUCAUAGCUGAGUGUCUUUGAAAGAUUAUUCUCACUGCUUCACAAACUUACUUGGUUUUUUUCUUUUAUCAGGCGGAUUGUGGUGUACCCAAAGGGGAGCAAUGGGAAGCAAUACUUGUCCAUGUACUUGAAUGUGGCAGAUGCUUCAAAGUUACCAUCUGGGUGGAGUAGAUAUGCCGAGUUCACCUUAACUGUCGUUAAUCAAUUUAACGGCGACAAGUCGAUAACCAUAGGUAUAUUUCUUCAUGAUGUUACUCUCUUCUUCAUCUUGUUUGUCCAUCUCACUUUUUCUGCUUGGGCCUUUUUCUCUUAUUCAAUUGCAAGCUGAUUUGUUAAUGCAGUAGAAUGAUUCUACUUUAGAUUGCAACUCAAUGUCUGAGUGGCUUUCUUUACUUAAAGCACUGUGUUACUCUUUGCUAUUUCUCUCACUUAAUCUAUUAAGCGAACCAAACACACUACAUUUGCUCAUUUCUUUCUGGUUUCUUAAGUAUUGUAACACUCUUUCUUUUAACUAAUUUUACGUGCUGAUCGAAGGCUUACUUGCUCUAUACUGCUGAUAAUAUAUGCGCUGAAUUUCUUUUUUCUAAAUCAGCAACUUAAUGGUGUCUCUUAAUAAUACCGGACCCCUUAUUAUGUUUUCAUAUUACUGCUCCACGAGCUGUGCAUUUUCUUUUCCAUGUUUUUUUGAUCCUUCACAUCUUGAUUUACAGACACACAGCAUCAGUUCAGUGCAAAAAAAAGUGAUUGGGGCUUCACAUCCUUCAUGCCUCUAAGUGAGCUAUUUGACCAGAAUGAAGGGUAUAUCGUGGAUGACAUAUGUGUUGUUGAAGCUGAGGUUGCAGUCAGUAAAGCUGACAUUAAAGUUCUAAAAGACCAAGAAACUGCCUUUCUCGGGCAGGAACUUCAAAGUCAGUCUUCAGACGUGGAUUCUGGGAAAUAUUCAGAAGCUUCAACGGCUCAUACAUCACUUUGUUAUGAACAGGUGGUUGCUUUCGAGGAUUCACUAAAUUCUGACCCUGUUCAAACAAAUGUUGAUUCUGCGCAAGUUCCACACUUGAAAAUAGAACCAAGAUCCGAUCAAGUGCUGCCUUACCAGGAGACUGAUAGCCCUGUUGGCCCUCCCAUAGUCGAGGAAAGCGAUGAAGCUCCCUCCACGCUAGUUAGCGAGCUCAUCAAUUUCAGGGGACUAGGGAAAAUAGAUAAAGCUUUUGUUCCACUGUUGGAGGAAGCCUGUUUGUGGCAUCCUUCGUUGAUUAGCUGCCAGAGGAAAAGAAGUCGCAUGUUUAGUGAAUGGGCAUUCACAGCUUUGGGUCGACUAUUGCAUUUUCUGAAUACCACAAGGGUUAAGGAUAUGAUGGAGGAUUCAUGUGAGCACG